UGCAAGUCGAGGGGUAGAGAUUAGCUUGCUAAACUCGAGACCGGCGCACGGGUGCGUAACGCGUAUGCAAUCUACCUUGUACAGGGAGAUAGCCCGGAGAAAUCCGGAUUAAUAUCCCAUAGUAUAAUUGAAUGGCAUCAUUUAACUAUUAAAGAUUUAUCGGUACAAGAUGAGCAUGCGUCCCAUUAGCUAGUUGGUAUGGUAACGGCAUACCAAGGCAAUGAUGGGUAGGGGUCCUGAGAGGGAGAUCCCCCACACUGGUACUGAGACACGGACCAGACUCCUACGGGAGGCAGCAGUGAGGAAUAUUGGUCAAUGGAGGCAACUCUGAACCAGCCAUGCCGCGUGCAGGAUGACGGUCCUAUGGAUUGUAAACUGCUUUUAUACAGGAAGAAACCCUACCACGAGUGGUAGACUGACGGUACUGUAAGAAUAAGGAUCGGCUAACUCCGUGCCAGCAGCCGCGGUAAUACGGAGGAUCCAAGCGUUAUCCGGAAUCAUUGGGUUUAAAGGGUCCGUAGGCGGUUAAAUAAGUCAGUGGUGAAAUCCGGCAGCUCAACUGUCGCACUGCCAUUGAUACUGUUUAACUUGAAUUAUUGUGAAGUAACUAGAAUAUGUAGUGUAGCGGUGAAAUGCUUAGAGAUUACAUGGAAUACCGAUUGCGAAGGCAGGUUACUAACAAUCAAUUGACGCUGAUGGACGAAAGCGUGGGGAGCGAACAGGAUUAGAUACCCUGGUAGUCCACGCCGUAAACGAUGGAUACUAGCUGUUCGACCGCAAGGUUGAGUGGCUAAGCGAAAGUGAUAAGUAUCCCACCUGGGGAGUACGAACGCAAGUUUGAAACUCAAAGGAAUUGACGGGGGCCCGCACAAGCGGUGGAGCAUGUGGUUUAAUUCGAUGAUACGCGAGGAACCUUACCAGGGCUUAAAUGCAGUAUGACAGGUUUGGAAACAGACUUUUCUUCGGACAUAUUGCAAGGUGCUGCAUGGUUGUCGUCAGCUCGUGCCGUGAGGUGUCAGGUUAAGUCCUAUAACGAGCGCAACCCCUGUUGUUAGUUACCAGCGAGUCAAGUCGGGCACUCUAACAAGACUGCCGGUGCAAACCG
rnacentral:rRNA from 1 species